AGGACUAACGCUGGCGGCGUGCCUAACACAUGCAAGUCGAACGGGGUAGCAAUACCCAGUGGCAGACGGGUGAGUAACACGUGGUCAACCUACCUCUAUGUGGGGGAUAACUAGCCGAAAGGUUAGCUAAUACCGCAUACGAUCGCUUUGGGGCAUCCCUAGGCGAUGAAAGGAGCAAUCCGCAUAGAGAGGGGACUGCGUCCCAUUAGUUAGUUGGUGGGGUAACGGCCUACCAAGACUCCGAUGGGUAGCUGGCUUGAGAGAGCGACCAGCCACACUGGAACUGAGACACGGUCCAGACUCCUAUGGGAGGCAGCAGUGAGGAAUUUUCCGCAAUGGGCGAAAGCCUGACGGAGCGACGCCGCGUGUGGGAAGAAGGCCUUCGGGUCGUAAACCACUGUCGAAGGGGACGAUAAUGACGGUACCCUUGGAGGAAGCCCCGGCUAACUACGCGCCAGCAGCCGC
rnacentral:rRNA from 1 species